rnacentral:rRNA from 1 species
ACUCCUACGGGAGGCAGCAGUGGGGAAUAUUGCACAAUGGGCGCAAGCCUGAUGCAGCCAUGCCGCGUGUGUGAAGAAGGCCUUCGGGUUGUAAAGCACUUUCAGUUGUGAGGAAGGUGGUGUCGUUAAUAGCGGCAUCAUUUGACGUUAGCAACAGAAGAAGCACCGGCUAACUCCGUGCCAGCAGCCGCGGUAAUACGGAGGGUGCGAGCGUUAAUCGGAAUUACUGGGCGUAAAGCGCAUGCAGGUGGUUUGUUAAGUCAGAUGUGAAAGCCCGGGGCUCAACCUCGGAACUGCAUUUGAAACUGGCAGACUAGAGUACUGUAGAGGGGGGUAGAAUUUCAGGUGUAGCGGUGAAAUGCGUAGAGAUCUGAAGGAAUACCGGUGGCGAAGGCGGCCCCCUGGACAGAUACUGACACUCAGAUGCGAAAGCGUGGGGAGCAAACAGGAUUAGAUAACCCUGGUAGCACAGAG